CAUAAUAAGAGCACCCAUACUAUCUCUGACAACACCACCACCUCCACAAAUACCAUCUCUACAGCUACCAUCACUAUUAAGCUUGACAAAAAGCAGUGGUGGCUUGAUCCACCUAACCAAAGCCACAGAUUUCUAAGUCAUUGAAGCAUCACACAGAUGACAGAUACUCUUCCAGCUCUCACCUACUCAAACCUUGCCAAACUGAGAAUGCAACAGGUGAGAUAAGGAGUAUGUGAUCAAUGCCUUGGAUCUAUUGAGUGAUGGUUUUUCAGAACCAUAUUUAUUGCUGCACCUGGACCUCCACAGCUCCCAGCAAACCAAAGGAGGCAUGACCUUAGUAAUAUAUGAAGCCACAGGAUUAAGGACCUUGUGGUUCCACCAAUUAAGAAGUAGCAUUCAACAAUUGAUGUUCCCAAACCAGUUGAGCAAAAACACCAGAGCAAAAGAGAUGCUCAACAGAUUCUAAGCUUGAGUUCACAGUAGAGUCAACACAGCAAUAACAUUUAGGGGAAAGAGAAUGACCAAACCUGGACACUCUCUCAUCAGUUGGGAGUUUAUCAUGGACUGCUCUCCAGGUAAGAAAUGCCAUUUUAAAAGGCACAUCCCUAUGCCAUAUCUUUGAAUCUAAAAAGGACACCUCUUUUUUCUGUCUAAGCAUAUUCCAGGCUGAAGCAAGAGAGAAUUUACCUGAUGCAGUUGGAGACCAAAUUGCCAAAUCAUCUUCAUCUGGACUGAGUGUAAGCUGCAUAGAGGAGAUGAUGUUCUUCACAAAGUCUGGAGGUUGAGUGUGCAGACAAUCCCAGUGCCAUUGAUUGUCCUUAAACACUUCAUUGACCCUGAUCUUGUCUUGCCU
rnacentral:lncRNA from 1 species